rnacentral:rRNA from 1 species
GACGAACGCUGGCGGCGUGCCUAACACAUGCAAGUCGAGCGGGGUCCAUCCAGUGGCAACACUGGGGAAGACCUAGCGGCGAACGGGUGAGUAACACGUGAGGAACUUGCCCCGGAGUACGGGAUAACUCGAGGAAACUCGAGCUAAUACCGUAUGCCCUCUUCUGGUCGCAUGGCCGGAUGAGGAAAGAUUCAUCGCUCCGGGAGAGCCUCGCGGCCUAUCAGCUAGUUGGUGGGGUAACGGCCCACCAAGGCAUCGACGGGUAGCUGGUCUGAGAGGACGAUCAGCCACACUGGGACUGAGACACGGCCCAGACUCCUACGGGAGGCAGCAGUGGGGAAUCUUGCGCAAUGGGCGAAAGCCUGACGCAGCAACGCCGCGUGCGGGAUGAAGGCCUUCGGGUUGUAACCGGACUUUCAGCAGGGAAGAAACU